UAUGUUUAUGGUUUAUGUGGAUACUCAUUAAUUCAAAUGCUGUUUGGAAAAAAGUUAAAUACAUGGCACCGUACCAUGAAACUUUUGCUUAUUUUGAUAACUAUUAUUGAGGCAAUGGAAUUUUACAUAUUGGUCAGUAUUGCUCAUAUGGCCAAUACCCUUCAUGAGCAUACAUUUUACAUUUUGCGCUACCCUUACCUCAAUUCGGAUCUAGUGGAAAAAAGUAAUGAAUGGUUUUCUCUCCAGCUAACACGGGAAAAUAAAAACUUCCACAUUUUGGGCGUCUUUAUUAUAAACCAUCAAUUAGUCUUUCAAAUAUUUACUGGCACCUUGCUUCAUAUUAUAUACAUGGUACAGACUGACUACUUCUAUUUGGAAAUAUAAUGUGAAAUACUUCAGAUUGAGGAUUUUGAAAAUACACACAAUGCAUACUAAUUUGUAGCCACAAUUA